CGGGUGGCCUGGCGGGUCCCGGGGCCUCGGUUCGCAUCGGAGUCCCCUCUGUGCUCGCCCUGCAGCCGCUGCCCGAGAGGUCUGAGUCGCCACCAGCUGUGUCCGCGGGGAUGUGGGGAGCGAGAUGGGAGGGGUCGCCCGCUAGUCGUCCCCGCCGGACACCGGGCACCGCGUAGCCUCAGAGAGCCGCCCGGACGCGGGGCCGCCCUGGGGAGCGGGUGAGGCCGAGGACCAGGGGGAAGGAGGAGCCCGUGGACGGCUGCAGCCCCAGUAGGACCAGUCUGUAUUGGACACCAGUGACAUGAGGCCAUUCACCAACCUUGAGGAGAGUUCCAGCCCUCAGCAGACACCCAGGAGACUCUGUUCUCAAUACUCUGUACUAACAACUUGACACAAUGCCAAUACAACCUCAUGAUUAAGAGAAACCAGGUAGGGUUAUUUAGUCCACAUCAAUGCUCUCAAG
rnacentral:lncRNA from 1 species